CACGGGGGGGAGCAAGCGUUGUUCGGAAUCACUGGGCGUAAAGGGCGUGUAGGCGGUCAAGUAAGUGGAAUGUGAAAGCCCCCCGGCUUACCCGGGGAUCUGCAUCCCAAACUGCUUGGACUUGAGUACGGGAGAGGAUAGGGGAAUUCCUGGGUGUAGCGGUGAAAUGCGUAGAUAUCAGGAGGAACACCGGUGGCGAAAGCAGCUCUCUGGGACGGUACUGACGCUGAGACGCGAAAGCGUGGGGAGCGAACAGG
rnacentral:rRNA from 1 species